AGUUUCAGACGUUCACGCUUUUGACUCUCACGCUGUCACCUUUGCACCAGACGGUGUCAGAUUUACCAUUACAAGACGAAUUCUUCGUCAGUCUUUUAUCCAUACUUUCCUGAUAGGCCGUCACUCUGUGUGGCCCUGUGCACCCGUUGUUACAUUGACAACACUAUCUCUCUGCGUCCCCCUACCGGACCUCUGUUUGUCUCUUACGUUAAGCCUCACAAACCGGUCUCCUCCCCCACCA